CUUGCUCCUGUUGGGGGCACCAGGGGAUGGGGGCACCGUAAGUGGCCAUACCCUUGGCCCAGCCCUUGUGGGACUUCUAUCCCAAAGCUGGUUGGCUAAGACCCAAACUACUCCCGGCGCCUGUUCUGGAAUGACUCUAUGCGGUGGUUACAAAGCAUAAGCACGGGCUCUAGCCUGAGGAUCCCUAGGUUCAAAUCCCACACUCCCCGCUACUAGUGUCCAAAUUCCAAGUUUUAAUCUAAUCUACUCCCUCCCGUCUUCCCUCCUAUCAGCCCCCUCCUUCCAGCUGUUCAGGCCCCAACCCUUGGGAGUCACAACUUUCUUAGUCCCCACGUCCGCCCUCAGCAAAUCCUGUCAGCCUCACCUUCGAACUACAUCCAGAAUCCGACCACUUCAAACCAGCGUCAUUGCCACCCCCAUCAUCGCUCGCCUGAAUUAGGGUAGUAGGCCUCACCAGUCUCCCCAGUCCCACCUUUGCCCCCAUAGUCUGUUCUCCAAUCAGCGGACAGAGGGAUAUUUUCUUGCACAGAGCAGCUAUUUAACCACAGAUUCUACAGGCAGACACACUGUGUACAAAUUCUGAACCUGCAGCUCCUUGACCAGGUGGCCUAUGGCAAGUUACUUAACUUUGCUGACCCUCAGUUUCCUCAUCUAUAAAUAAGAAAAAAAAAGCUGACAUUUUUCUAGCAUUCGGUAUGUAGCAGGUACUGUUCUAAGUAACUUCUAUGUUUUAUUAACUAAUUUAACCCUCAUAACUCUGUAUGAGCUAGAUACUACUAAUCAUCUCCAUUUUACAGAUGAAGAAAAUGAACCACAGAGAAUGUGGGUACUCGACUUCAAAGUCAUAGAGAUUCCUCUUGGAGAUGCCGAGGGCAGGGCAAGAGAGCUUGGCCAGGCGGCACAGGUCCUGUAGCUGAUUCCAAGAAGACUUGCAACACACACUGCAGCCUGGGACAAGGAGGGCAGAAAGAACUUAAUGGGCAUCCUGGCGAAGCCACGGGUCAAAGGGAACCCCAAAUCCUCUCUGGGACUUCCAAAGGGCUGCCUCAGAGUCAGUGAGAUUUAAUCCACAGGACUUCCCAAUGCUGAGACCCUUCUACAACAAAAAUGUGCCACUUCUUCAACCCCAGUGCUCAUUCCAAGGCUACCCCUGGAGCAGUAGACCUCAAAGUGGGAUCUGCUGGAUGGAUUAUCCUAAAGGAAUCUAUUCCCAGCAGCUUCCAACUCCCUCCAUACUAUUCCUAAAACUGCCCGCAAACCUGCCUAGGGUUCAGGACCUAAUCAUCCCUCUCCCCACUUUGCAAAAUAAAGAGAACAAACCCC